CCCACAGGACACCAGCAAAGCCGCCCAUAAGGCCUGCGCACAGCGGCACACAUGCCUGCACACAUAGCGACUUUAAGGCCGCAUCGUCUAAAAGCUCGGCGUUCCCAAUGAGCGAGGCACCUUUUGAAACGACACCACCUUUCACGAACUGGGGGAUCGUGCUUGACGGCGAUGUGCAACAAGAUACCGUCAGCAGCGGCGUCUACUGCACAACACAGCAGUUGCGCUUUCGGCGAACUCCACGACUGUCUGACCACGCCGGAUCCGGCGCGUCUACCGCCGCAGCAGUGACCAUCCGUCAGGCAAACAGCAGCAACAGCGGCCACCCCUAUCAUGGUAGUGUCGCAGUUCUCGACGACUGGGAGCGCUCUGCGGUGGACCUGUACAGGGAGAUUCGCCGCCACCGAAGCGAAGGACCGCAACAGCCGCGCAACGGCGCCAAGCUGUGUGACAGCACACAGGAGGGGCGCCGUCUUGAUACCUCGGAGUGCUCCUCGCCGUCUCCGUACGCUGCGUUGAUGGGGACGGCAUUUCCACAGCUGCUUGGAGGGCCGUUUGCGCCUCCAGGCCAGGCGCCCGCAAGCCUGGCAGGUGACAGCACGGCAGGCACACCCCAGCUGCCUUCAUCCUCUCCAUUGCUGCUGCAGUAUUUUCUCUCCAUUGGGUAUCCGCUGCGCCUCCCUUACAAUACGGAAGCGGCCGCCGCUUCGCAUUCCGCCGCUCUUGUCGCCGUCGCACAGGAGACAGUCGCGUGGUUCGAGGACAGCGGCGUGGCGGUGGAGAGCACGGCACCGAGUAGAAUUGCCGUGCCGUUGCACCGCUUCAGCGUCCGCCUCUUCCCCGAUGUCGUGCAGCAGAUGAUCUCAGCGCACCGGAUGACGCCGGCGACCGCGGCGGCGUGGCUGCUGCGCGUAUAUGUCGGCCUUCUGGCGCCGUGGGAGGCAAAGGAGUACAGCAUCCAGGGUGCAAUAACGGCGGUCCACGGCUGUGAGAACGACCCACUCGAUCCCGGAAUGCCGCCCGCGUUCUGCAUGGAAGGUGUCUGGCGCUGGGCCAACGCCAUGUGCACGGCGGUGUACCAUCUACAGACUAGCGCCCGUGCUGCGAGAGAGACGAGCCUCCACGAAAGUGAGAAGCGGUCAUCCGAUGCCCUGAGCAGCAGCGGGAAUGAGAAAGCCGCGCCCCCGCAAGGAAUGCAGUCGCUUGCAAGCGAGCGUCGCACCGACGACGUUGGAUGGAGGCUCUUCGCCCUCACCGUUCUUCAGAAAACCACCACGCUUAUUCUGCGGGGCUGCUUCACCACGGCAAGGGUCGACGCAGGCAAUGCAUCACAAGACCCCACCAGCGCCGAAUCACUGGAGGAGCGGGACGCUCGAGGUGGACUGAAACAAGACGCCGUGGGCGCGCAGUCAUGGUCGCCACGGACAUCAGAGACCGUAAUGCCACCGGUGCCCACCACCCGCGUUGUUGUGGAAGGACUGGCGUGUUUCGCGCUCCUUGUGCGACUUCACGAGCGAUUCCCCAAACAAGGGGAGAUGCUGCAUGAUGCCGGAGGUGCGCAUGCUCGCCCCGCUGCCGCCCACCUCGCGGACGCAGCGCAGGCUAUGGUUGAGAAGCACUGGGAGGGGCACGCACAGCUGGCGGUGCAGCAGUUGCCACACCUCCCUACACACUACCAUCAUCUUGUGCACAUGAUGGACUUUGUGCUCACCCACUGAGGAUAGAUCUGAGCCGGCGCGCAAGACAGGGGAAGGGCUUAGCGAGCGGUGCUGUUUUCUUUUUUGCCGGAAGGGAGCGGAGCUACACAUGAUCGUCGACUUUCCUCGUUGUGCCUCUCUUUCCUCGUCUCCCAGCCUCAACGCUGCAUGUUGCGGUCGUCUUUCCUUCUUCCCAGUUUUACAGCCGAGUUUGUACCCCACCGCCACCACCAAUUCCCUCUAACAUCCGCUACUUCGCUUUCUGUUGUUUUUCCUGCUCUUUUCUCUCCCUCAGUCACUCGACACCUCGUCGCAUCGAGUCGUCAUGGAGGCAUCCACGGCGCAGCAGAUGUGCUGCAGCACGCGACACAGAUAAAACAAGCAAUCGCAGGAAAUGUGCAAAGGCAGCGAUGACCGGCUCUUUGUCUCACUCGUGCCGCCCAUCGGCUGCUACCUCACGGCCGCGCCAUAACGUUUUGUGUGCGUUACGCUCUGUACGGGCGCAGCGUUGUGUGUCUCCUGCGCUGAGCAUCGUCCCUCUCCCCUUCUCCGCCCUCGCCUCUGUUAUUCUCUUUGCUUCUCUCCCCUGUCUUUUCAUGCGUUAAUACUCGUACCAUGUUGUGCUGCGUUGGCCCGGUGUGUGCACUGCGCAUGCCGUCGCCCACCUUUCUCUCUCGUUUCCUCUCUUCCCUCCUCGUCCUCACGCUGUUUGCACGGACGUGUGAUUUAG
rnacentral:misc_RNA from 1 species